rnacentral:rRNA from 1 species
ACUCCUACGGGAGGCAGCAGUGGGGAAUAUUGCACAAUGGGGGAAACCCUGAUGCAGCCAUGCCGCGUGUGUGAAGAAGGCCUUCGGGUUGUAAAGCACUUUCAGUAGGGAGGAAGGUAGUGUAGUUAACACCUGCACUAUUUGACGUUACCUACAGAAGAAGCACCGGCUAACUCCGUGCCAGCAGCCGCGGUAAUACGGAGGGUGCGAGCGUUAAUCGGAAUUACUGGGCGUAAAGCGCAUGCAGGCGGCCUGUUAAGUCAGAUGUGAAAGCCCGGGGCUUAACCUCGGAAUUGCAUUUGAAACUGGCAGGCUAGAGUCUUGUAGAGGGGGGUAGAAUUUCAGGUGUAGCGGUGAAAUGCGUAGAGAUCUGAAGGAAUACCAGUGGCGAAGGCGGCCCCCUGGACAAAGACUGACGCUCAGAUGCG